rnacentral:rRNA from 1 species
AGAGUUUGAUCAUGGCUCAGAGCGAACGCUGGCGGCAGGCCUAACACAUGCAAGUCGAACGGGCCCUUUCGGGGGUCAGUGGCAGACGGGUGAGUAACGCGUGGGAACGUGCCCAUCGGUUCGGGAUAACCCAGGGAAACUUGGGCUAAUACCGGAUACGCCCUUUUGGGGAAAGGUUCAUUGCCGAUGGAUCGGCCCGCGUCUGAUUAGCUUGUUGGUGAGGUAACGGCUCACCAAGGCGACGAUCAGUAGCUGGUCUGAGAGGGAUGAUCAGCCACACUGGGACUGAGACACGGCCCCAGACUCCUACGGGGAGGCAGCAGUGGGGAAUAUUGGACAAUGGGCGCAAGCCUGAUCCAGCCCAUGCCGCGUGAGUGAUGAAGGCCUUAGGGUUGUAAAGCUCUUUCACCCACGACGAUAAUGACGGUAGUGGGAGAAGAAGCCCCGGCUAACUUCGUGCCAGCAGCCGCGGUAAUACGAAGGGGGCUAGCGUUGCUCGGAAUCACUGGGCGUAAAGGGCGCGUAGGCGGCCGAUCAAGUCAGGGGUGAAAGCCUGUGGCUCAACCACAGAAUUGCCUUUGAUACUGUUUGGCUCGAGACCGGAAGAGGUUGGUGGAACUGCGAGUGUAGAGGUGAAAUUCGUAGAUAUUCGCAAGAACACCAGUGGCGAAGGCGGCCAACUGGUCCGGUUCUGACGCUGAGGCGCGAAAGCGUGGGGAGCAAACAGGAUUAGAUACCCUAGUAGUCC